rnacentral:rRNA from 1 species
UCCCUAUGGGGUGCACCAGGCGCGAAACCUCCUCAAUGCACUAACGUGCGAAGGGGUUACCUCGAGUGCUAUCUGAUGAAGGUGGCUUUUCCUUGGUCUAAAAAGCCUUGGGAAUAAGAGGGGGGCAAGACUGGUGUCAGCCGCCGCGGUAACACCAGCCCCUCGAGUGGUGGGGAUGAUUAUUUGGCCUAAAGCGUCCGUAGCCGGCCGGAUAAGUUUCCCGUUAAAUCUAACGUCUCAAGCGUUGGCCUGCGGGAAAUACUGUCUGGCUAGAGAGUGGGAAAGGUCUGCGGUAUUCUGGGGGUAGGGGCGAAAUCCUUUGAUCCCCGGAGGACCACCAGUGGCGAAGGCUGUAGACUAGAACACGUCUGACGGUCAGGGACGAAAGCUGGGGUAGCGAACCGGAUUAGAUACCCGGGUAGUCCCAGCCGUAAACGAUGCAUGCUAGGUGUUGGGUUGGCCACGAGCCACCCCAGUGCCGCAGGGAAGCCGUUAAGCAUGCCGCCUGGGAAGUACGAUCGCAAGGUUGAAACUUAAAGGAAUUGGCGGGGGAGCACCACCAGGCGUGAAGCCUGCGGUUUAAUUGGAUUCAACGCCGGAA